UACGUAUGGUGCAAGCGUUAUCCGGAUUUACUGGGUGUAAAGGGAGCGCAGGCGGCGCGGCAAGUCUGAUGUGAAAGCCCGGGGCCCAACCCCGGGACUGCACUGGAAACUGCCGUGCUGGAGUGUCGGAGGGGUAAGCGGAAUUCCUGGUGUAGCGGUGAAAUGCGUAGAUAUUAGGAGGAACACCAGUGGCGAAGGCGGCUUACUGGACCGUAACUGACGUUGAGGCUCGAAAGCGUGGGGAGCAAACAGG
rnacentral:rRNA from 1 species